rnacentral:rRNA from 1 species
GUUUUUUUAGAAAUAAAUUUAAUUUACAAAUUUUUAAUUUUUUAUUUAUUUAUUUAAUUAAAAAAAUUAUUAAUUUGAAUAUUUUAAGGGAUAAGCUUUAAAAUAAAUUAUUAAAAAUUAAUAAAUUAAAUAUAAAAUGUAUGAAUAGAAUUUUCAAUCAUUUAUGAGUUUGUUAUAAAUUAUUUUAUAACUUAUAUUAUUUAUUAUAAUUUUAAAUUUUUAUAAAAAUUUUUUCAUAAAUUUUUUAUGAAAAUAAAUAAUGAUGAAAUUAGUAUAUUAAUAUUGUAUAUAUAAUUUUAUAUGACAAGUUUAUAUAAAGAACUCGGCAAAUUUAUAUACUCGCCUGUUUAACAAAAACAUGUCUUUUUGAGUUAUUUUUAAAGUCUGACCUGCCCACUGAAUAAAUUUAAAUGGCCGCAGUAUUUUAACUGUGCAAAGGUAGCAUAAUCAUUAGUUUUUUAAUUGAAGGCUGGUAUGAAUGGUUGGACGAAGUAUAAACUGUUUCAUGUAAAUUUAUUAUAGAAUUUUAUAUUUUAGUUAAAAAGCUAAAAUUUAAUUAAAAGACGAGAAGACCCUAUAAAUCUUUAUAUUUAUUAUUAUUUUAAUUUUUUAGAUAUAUUUUAUUUUAAUAAUAUUAAAUAUUUUGUUGGGGUGAUGUUAAAAUUUAAUAAACUUUUAAUUAUUAAAAUCAUUAAUUUAUGAUUUAUUGAUCCGUUAAUAACCAUUAUAAGAUUAAGUUACUUUAGGGAUAACAGCGUAAUUUUUUUGGAGAGUUCUUAUCGAUAAAAAAGUUUGCGACCUCGAUGUUGGAUUAAGAUAUAUUUUUAGGUGUAGCCGCUUAAAUAUU